rnacentral:lncRNA from 1 species
GCACGUCCACUCAUAUAUGCUACUUCUACUCCGGAAGUACCAUCCACAUAUAUCCAUUCAUUUCUAUCUCCAGAAUCACCCAAAAAUAUUCUACUCCUAAUCCGGGAGAGAAUAACCAAAAAUAUUUUUGUUCUUCCCCUUGUGAAAUAAAUGCUCAAGUUAUCUUGUUACUACCGCUUGCUAUAUUAUCUCAUGAGAUGAGUGCUCUAAAAAAAAUACGAGGAAAUAAAAAGGAGCAAGUGCUCGGAACCUCGAAAGAAAAAGAAAAAGUGAGACGAAAGGUAAAAAUGGACAAGUGUCCGACAGUAGAAUUAGGGGUACAAGAUACCCACCUGAGAGGAAACAAAAAGAAGAGCAUCUCAUUCUCCUCAUAAAGUUUCAAAAAGCAAGGAAGGUAUGUAUCCCCUCAAAGAGCAAAGUAGAAUUAGACUUCCACCACCAUUGUUUUCACCAUUGUUAUCACCAUCAUCAUCAUACACCAUUCAUUCGCCACACAUGCACAUCUUGAUUUGACUUAUUGAUUUGUUUCUUUGGAUCCAUGGUUUGACUAUGCAAUAAAUGUCUUGUAAGUAUGUAUAUCUCCCACCUAUGAGCUCCAGAUAUUAAAGCCUUAUUAGAGUAGGGUGAGAGAGAAGAUAAUGUCACUAUGCUUCAUACCACAAAUACUACAUAUCUUGAGAGAAGGCAUAUACCAUCACUGCCUUGGUAAGGAUCCAAAAAUACCACAAAAGAGAGACCUGAGAGAAUCAUACAAGGAAUCUCUGAGUUUUAUUUGAAUAUCUGCAAAAACCCC